rnacentral:rRNA from 1 species
AUGAAUGACAAUCUCUCCCUCUUUAAUUGGAAUGUGAGAGGCCUAAAUGACAAGGCUAGACGCGCUGCUGUACGCGCGCUACUUGACCGAUUCUCCUGCUCGAUUAUUUGUCUUCAGGAAUCUAAAUUGUCAAACUUCUCUGUUGCCAAUAGGGUGGAAAUAGUUGGGCCGGUGUUUGAUGAGCAUGCUAUGCUUAACGCGGAUGGCACGCGAGGCGGUAUCCUCCUCUGUUGGCGGUCAGAGGUGUUCGCGUCUAGUAGGAUUGAUGUGAGAACUUUCUCUAUCACGGUGUGUUUUACGCCCAGGUGCGGAGGCGAGGCUUGGUCUAUGACAACAGUCUACGGACCGCAUGACGAUGGGAGGAAGCCUGCCUUCCUAGCAGAACUUGCCAGCAUCCACAACUCCUUGUCCGGGCCAUGGAUUGUGAUAGGCGAUUUCAACUUAAUCAAAGACCCCGCAGACAAAAGCAACAACCGGAUUUGCCGCCGUUGGAUGAACAACUUCUGCCGCACCCUAAACCGAUCAAGUUCGCAUGAUUGGACGCCGUUACACAUGGAGCAACGAGAAGGACUCGCCUAG